rnacentral:rRNA from 1 species
AGUGAACGCUGGCGGUAGGCCUAACACAUGCAAGUCGAACGGCAGCACAGUAAGAGCUUGCUCUUACGGGUGGCGAGUGGCGGACGGGUGAGGAAUACAUCGGAAUCUACUUUUUCGUGGGGGAUAACGUAGGGAAACUUACGCUAAUACCGCAUACGACCUACGGGUGAAAGCAGGGGAUCUUCGGACCUUGCGCGAUUGAAUGAGCCGAUGUCGGAUUAGCUAGUUGGCGGGGUAAAGGCCCACCAAGGCGACGAUCCGUAGCUGGUCUGAGAGGAUGAUCAGCCACCCUGGAACUGGAACACGGUCCAGACUCCUACGGGAGGCAGCAGUGGGGAAUAUUGGACAAAGGGCGCAAGCCUGAUCCAGCCAUACCGCGUGGGUGAAGAAGGCCUUCGGGUUGUAAAGCCCUUUUGUUGGGAAAGAAAAGCAGCAGGUUAAUACCCCGCUGUUCUGACGGUACCCAAAGAAUAAGCACCGGCUAACUUCGUG